GUUACGACAGUGCGACAGUACAAUGAGCGCCAGCGGCCGUGCGGGUGGGUGUUAUAGUAUUACAGCUCGACUACAACUGUGGAGACCGCUUUAUAUCAAACCUUAAGCUGCUGGGGCUCAAAGGAAAAUAUCGAUCCAUCGUGUGCUAUUAAGAACAUCUCAAAUACAUUGUUAAAUGACUCAAGAUGUCCACAAGGCAGUCAAGCAAGGGACCAAUCAACCAUGAAGUAUUAUCUAUUCCAUGUAACUCUGUACUUCAUCUACUGCUAUAAUUUAAUUACGUUAUAGUUACGCUACAUGUACAUUAGAAUAUGUGUAAUGUUUGACUACAAAUAAAAUACAAUUUUGCAUUCCA